AGGGUUGCACCAUUGCGAGAGUUGGAGAUAACGUAGCAAUAGCGUUGCAAAAAAAUGAUGCAAAUCAAGUAAUGUCUGGAGUGUUUUGUGGAAACCCUAAAGAGAUGGAUCAAACUGAUUUAAGAGGAGAAUGCAUUAGCUGGUAAUCAAUCUCACAAGAUGUUGUCAAAGCUUGGAGAAGCAAAAAGCAAAGUUGAUAAUCUAAAGAAUCACAAAAUCAUUGUGUAGGGAUCCAAGAAGUGAGGAGUUUUAUGAAGAGAGUAAUAAAGACCACUUCACGUCUUCUCCUACAGUUAGACAUGAUGUUUAUGUUGUUUAGUUUUCAGAGUCAGAGAUUGUUGUUCCAACAUGAUAAAUUCUGUUUGGUGGAAUAUGUUUAAUUAUUUUUUAAAUUGUAAAAGAGCACUAAACUGUAUUUUCUUUGUUUCAGAUUUUAUAUUAUAUAUAUAUAACUAUUUAAUAUUGUGUGUAUAUAUAUAUAUAUAUAUAUAUAUAUAUUGUAACAUAUUUUACUUAUUUGACUUCUUUUUUUUGUGUGCGGCAAUGGCAUGACGUCAGUGUGUAUAUGUUAUACUAGGUGUUUAUCCGCAAUUUUACGGGUAGUUAUAUUAUAUAAAAAAAUAUAUAUUAUUUUUACACUAUUAUAAUUUUUAAAUAAUAAUUAGAAAUUUUUAAUUUUAACUUUAAUUUUAAUUUUUAAUUUUAAAUUUUUAAUUUCAAAUAUUUGGAUAAUCAAAAUUUCAGUAUAUAUUUUUAUAAGAUAUGUGAGAUUUAAAAUAGUUCAAAAACAUAAACCUUAGUCAUUAAAAAUCUUUCUAUUACAGAAAAGAAUAUUGUAAUUAAUUCAGAUAAUUGGUUGUAGAAUUACUUUAUAUUUUAGAUUAAUACAUGAAAAACCGAAAAUACUCUAGCUCUCAAGAGAGAAAAAAAAAAAAGAGUGUGUUUUUUUGUGUAACUCAAGUAUAACUAAUACAAUGAUCGGAGACUUUUAUUAUGAAAGAUCUUUUGUAAACGGUUUUGGGUGAGCUCUAAAAACAUAAAAGUUAUAAUAAUUUCUUACCUACAAAUAUAAUUCUUUUAUAUAAUAAUAUAUAACCAUUAAAUUUAUUUCUAUAAAAAAUGCUAAAGCAUUUUAAUUAAUUAUAUAUAACUAAUUGAUAAAAUGAAGAAAUUGAUAAAACAUAUAUAUUCUUUCUUUAAUUCUACAAUUAGUUACCAUAAAUCAUUAUUUGUAAUAUCAUUUGUGUUAUUUGGUAAUUUGUAUUAAUUAGUUCUAGAGUUAAAUUAUGAGAAAGAUUACAUAGACAAUUCGACAACCGACAAUAUUACCUGCCUUAUGAGGAUCUACGCCUAACUGGAUCACAUGAGCCGUCUUACGAAGACCUAUGCUGAUCGGAUUUACUUGCACCAUGUUGAAGAUCUCUUGUAAGUCUUUCUUCCAUAGUCUGUAUAAUUGUUUUAUAAAUCGCUUUCUCCUGGAAUUGAAACCUAGACCUCACAUAAUGCGCAAUCUGCAAGAAAUUGCAUAGCCUGGGAUUUGAACCUCAGACCUGGGUGUAGAAGCCUUUAAACCUUAACCAUUAGGCUACGGUGCUUCCACAUUAACAAAUUAUGUUAGUUCAUCUAUAUUUAAGAUGCUUAAUUGUAUGUUUGGAAACAUAGAUUAAAUUUGGUAAUUCUAUGAAUAGUUUCCUUUUAAAAAAUUUAAUUAAAUAAAUAAAAAUGAAAAAUAUCAACCAAUAAAAUUAUAAUAAUUAAUUGGAGAAUUCUUCUAUGAGCAACAUGUCAGCAUAAAUCACUAAAGUGACUUCUCAAUUAAUAUAUAGGAAGAUAGUUGUUUGCGUAUAUGUCAACUUCGCCGUCAUUUUCCAUAAGUUCUUUACUAAAUACGAAACAUAAGCUAAGAUAAAUACAGAGAUGAAAAUUUCACAUUCACAAUUAUCUAUACAUUAUGAAUAAGACAAAUCUAUACUAUUAUUUGCGAAGUAAAUUUUUGGAAUCGAGCUCUCACGUUAAAAGUUAGAGUGGUUAAUAACGUUUAUACCCUUAAUGAAUAAAAUGUAUAACUAAACUAAAAAUUAAAAACAAAAUUUAAUUUAUUUGAUUAGAUAAUCUCUCACGUUAAAAGUGAGAGUGGUUAAUAACGUUUAUACCCUUAAU